rnacentral:tRNA from 1 species
AAGGAGUUAGUUAAACUAUAACAUUAGGUUGUCAGCCUAACAUUACUAAUUAAAUUUAGUAUUUCUUA